UUUUCUUUCACCGGAGCUUGCUCCACCGAAAGAAAAGGAGUGGCGAACGGGUGAGUAACACGUGGGUAACCUGCCCAUCAGAAGGGGAUAACACUUGGAAACAGGUGCUAAUACCGUAUAACAAUCGAAACCGCAUGGUUUCGGUUUGAAAGGCGCUUUUGCGUCACUGAUGGAUGGACCCGCGGUGCAUUAGCUAGUUGGUGAGGUAACGGCUCACCAAGGCAACGAUGCAUAGCCGACCUGAGAGGGUGAUCGGCCACAUUGGGACUGAGACACGGCCCAAACUCCUACGGGAGGCAGCAGUAGGGAAUCUUCGGCAAUGGACGGAAGUCUGACCGAGCAACGCCGCGUGAGUGAAGAAGGUUUUCGGAUCGUAAAACUCUGUUGUUAGAGAAGAACAAGGAUGAGAGUAGAAUGUUCAUCCCUUGACGGUAUCUAACCAGAAAGCCACGGCUAACUACGUGCCAGCAGCCGCGGUAAUACGUAGGUGGCAAGCGUUGUCCGGAUUUAUUGGGCGUAAAGCGAGCGCAGGCGGUUUCUUAAGUCUGAUGUGAAAGCCCCCGGCUCAACCGGGGAGGGUCAUUGGAAACUGGGAAACUUGAGUGCAGAAGAGGAGAGUGGAAUUCCAUGUGUAGCGGUGAAAUGCGUAGAUAUAUGGAGGAACACCAGUGGCGAAGGCG
rnacentral:rRNA from 1 species